rnacentral:rRNA from 1 species
GGGUAACCUGCCUGUAAGACUGGGAUAACUCCGGGAAACCGGAGCUAAUACCGGAUAGUUCCUUGAACCGCAUGGUUCAAGGAUGAAAGACGGUUUCGGCUGUCACUUACAGAUGGACCCGCGGCGCAUUAGCUAGUUGGUGGGGUAAUGGCUCACCAAGGCGACGAUGCGUAGCCGACCUGAGAGGGUGAUCGGCCACACUGGGACUGAGACACGGCCCAGACUCCUACGGGAGGCAGCAGUAGGGAAUCUUCCGCAAUGGACGAAAGUCUGACGGAGCAACGCCGCGUGAGUGAUGAAGGUUUUCGGAUCGUAAAGCUCUGUUGUUAGGGAAGAACAAGUGCGAGAGUAACUGCUCGCACCUUGACGGUACCUAACCAGAAAGCCACGGCUAACUACGUGCCAGCAGCCGCGGUAAUACGUAGGUGGCAAGCGUUGUCCGGAAUUAUUGGGCGUAAAGGGCUCGCAGGCGGUUUCUUAAGUCUGAUGUGAAAGCCCCCGGCUCAACCGGGGAGGGUCAUUGGAAACUGGGAAACUUGAGUGCAGAAGAGGAGAGUGGAAUUCCACGUGUAGCGGUGAAAUGCGUAGAGAUGUGGAGGAACACCAGUGGCGAAGGCGACUCUCUGGUCUGUAACUGACGCUGAGGAGCGAAAGCGUGGGGAGCGAACAGGAUUAGAUACCCUGGUAGUCCACGCCGUAAACGAUGAGUGCUAAGUGUUAGGGGGUUUCCGCCCCUUAGUG